UUUAAAGUAUAAGCAUUAUACCGUGAACUGCGAAUGGCUCAUUAAAUCAGUUAUCGUUUAUUUGAUAAUACCUUACUACUUGGAUAACCGUGGUAAUUCUAGAGCUAAUACAUGCUAAAAAUCCCGACUUCGGAAGGGAUGUGUUUAUUAGAUAAAAAACCAAUGCCCUUCGGGGCUUCUUGGUGAUUCAUGAUAACUUUACGGAUCGCAUAGCCUUGCGCUGGCGACGGUUCAUUCAAAUUUCUGCCCUAUCAACUUUCGAUGGUAAGGUAUUGGCUUACCAUGGUUUCAACGGGUAACGGGGAAUUAGGGUUCGAUUCCGGAGAGGGAGCCUGAGAAACGGCUACCACAUCCAAGGAAGGCAGCAGGCGCGCAAAUUACCCAAUCCCGACACGGGGAGGUAGUGACAAUAAAUACUGAUACAGGGCUCUUUUGGGUCUUGUAAUUGGAAUGAGUACAAUUUAAACCUCUUAACGAGGAACAAUUGGAGGGCAAGUCUGGUGCCAGCAGCCGCGGUAAUUCCAGCUCCAAUAGCGUAUAUUAAAGUUGUUGCAGUUAAAAAGCUCGUAGUUGAAACUUGGGCCUGGCUGGCGGGUCCGCCUCACCGCGUGCACUCGUCCGGCCGGGCCUUCCUUCUGAAGAACCUCAUGCCCUUCACUGGGCGUGUUGGGGAAUCAGGACUUUUACUUUGAAAAAAUUAGAGUGUUCAAAGCAGGCCUUUGCUCGAAUACGUUAGCAUGGAAUAAUAAAAUAGGGCGUGCGUUUCUAUUUUGUUGGUUUCUAGAGACGCCGCAAUGAUUAACAGGAACAGUCGGGGGCAUCAGUAUUCAGUUGUCAGAGGUGAAAUUCUUGGAUUUACUGAAGACUAACUACUGCGAAAGCAUUUGCCAAGGAUGUUUUCAUUAAUCAGUGAACGAAAGUCAGGGGAUCGAAGACGAUCAGAUACCGUCGUAGUCUUGACCGUAAACUAUGCCGACUAGGGAUCGGGGCGAUGUUCUUU
rnacentral:rRNA from 1 species